rnacentral:rRNA from 1 species
UACGAAGGGGGGCUAGCGUUGUUCGGAAUUACUGGGCGUAAAGGGCGCGUAGGCGGUACUUCAAGUCAGGCGUGAAAGCCCCGGGCUCAACCUGGGAACCGCGCUUGAGACUGGAGAACUAGAGUUCGGGAGAGGAUGGUGGAAUUCCCAGUGUAGAGGUGAAAUUCGUAGAUAUUGGGAAGAACACCGAUGGCGAAGGGCAGCCAUCUGGAACCCGACACUGACGCUGAGGCGCGAAAAGCGUGGGGAGCAAACAGG